AUUAAACCUGGACCUGAUCAAGCAUCUGGACUGGCUUAUGGAUAUAGAGAAAAUGUAGGGGAUAGAUGAGCACGGGAAAUGUCUCCGUGGGGCAAAAUUCACGAAAUUCAGAUUGUUGGACACUCUCCAGGACAAAAGGUCUAGAUUCUUCAAAAACAACAACAUCGAAAAAAAAAAACUGCCAGAAAGAAAAAAUACAGAGGGAGAAGAGGAAGAAACAGGCCCAGAGAAGUUGGGUAACUCAUCAAAGGUCACAGAGCUAAGAGUGGCAGAGUCAGGCCUGGAGCCCAGGAAGUCUGGUUUCGAAUUUCAUGCUUCUAACCUGAGCACUGUACUGCUUGGUGGAGUUCUCUGCUAGUCCUACCUUUCAGGCAGAGGUGAUGCAGCAAGAAAGCUGCCACCAGAUGCAGCCCCUUGAUCUCGGACUGCCCAGCCUCUAGAACUGAGUUGAAGAGCAAUUCCCUCCAGUUUCCAUUAGAAAUGCUUCUUCUUCCAUAUCAAAUAUUGUGAGAUAGCCUGAAACACCUUUCAACACUUUACUACCCUUCUCCAAAAUUCAACAGAUAUGAUUUCCACGGACUUUACUCACAGGGGCUUCAGUAGAAGAGGAAGAGGCUUGGGUUUAAUUGAAGGUGGCCUGAGACAUCUGUGAGGAACAGCCCUUUUAGAGACAUAUCCCCUACAAAUAAAGCAUCAGAAUUAUUAUCCUAAUACAUGAACAUCCAUGGUUCCUUCAGCACCAUCGUAAUGCAGAGACCAUGGGGAGAUGCAGGGAGAGGGCUCUGCACAGCAUGGCCAACUUGCCGGGUUGAAAACAGACAACCUCCAUGGAGCAGGGACUUCAAUUAGUUAAUUCCCCAUCCCCACUGUCACUUACUAACAUGGGAUUCUGAUUAAAAAUUAGAUUCUCUGCAA
rnacentral:lncRNA from 1 species